GAUUUCUGGUUGGGUUGCGGGCGUGUGCUGGGUGGGUUCAGCUCGUCUGUCUCGUCCAUGUCACCGUCUCUCCGACCAUCCUUGUGUGGGUUGGUGUUGUGUGUGCGCCGUCCUUCGCUGGUCGGCGCGCGCGCCGCACCAACUGUUACCCGCACAUCGUUUACUUUGAACAAAUUAGAGUGUUUCAAGCAGGCAGUACGUUUGCUCUGAAUACAUUAGCAUGGAAUAAUGAGGUAGGACUUUCGGUUCCGACAGUUGCCCAAGUUGUGGCUCGCUCGUUGGUUUCACCGUGUUCACGAACCGAAGUAAUGAUUGAUAGGGUCAGUUGGGGGUGCUCGUAUUCCGCGGCCAGAGGUGAAAUUCUUGGAUUCGCGGAGGACGAACUUAUGCGAAAGCAUU
rnacentral:rRNA from 1 species